rnacentral:rRNA from 1 species
GACGUAGGGCGCGAGCGUUGUCCGGAUUUAUUGGGCGUAAAGGGCUCGUAGGCGGUUCGACAAGUCGGGUGUGAAACCUCCAGGCUCAACCUGGAGUCGCCACUCGAAACUGUUGUGACUAGAGUCCGGUAGGGGAGCAUGGAAUUCCUGGUGUAGCGGUGGAAUGCGCAGAUAUCAGGAGGAACACCAGUGGCGAAGGCGAUGCUCUGGGCCGGUACUGACGCUGAGGAGCGAAAGCAUGGGGAGCGAACAGG